CGGAGGAAAAGAAAAUAACAAUGAUUCCCUUAGUAACUGCGAGUGANGGGGGAAAAGCUCAAAUUUUAAAUCUGUUAGGUUAUACCUGACCGAGUUGUAAUUUGAAGAGGCGUUUUCUGAGGGUUUGAUCAGUCCAAGUCCUUUGGGAUAAGGCAUCAUGGAGGGUGAGAAUCCCGUUCGGUUGAUCAGAACUUCUUUACGAUACGUCAUCAAAGAGUCAAGUUGUUUGGGAUUGCAGCUUAAAAUGGGAGGUAAAUUUCUCCUAAGGCUAAAUAACGGCGAGAGACCGAUAGCGAACAAGUACCGUGAGGGAAAGAUGAAAAGAACUUUGAAAAGAGAGUUAAACAGUACGUGAAAUUGUUGAAAGGGAAACGAUUGAAGCCAGUCGUACCGGCGGGUAAUCAGCCUUUUGGGUGUGAUUAUGUGGAGCGUGAGGAGUUAAUCACCCUCAUCUUUGCAUAUUCGUGCACUUUGGGUGUACUUGCUCGUGUGGUAGGUUAACAUCAAUUUUGAUCGUCAUAAAAUGAUUGGAGGAAUGUAGCUUCGAUCUCGUAUUGAAGUGUUAUAGCCUUCGGUAGAUGUGAUGAUUGGGAUUGAGGAUUGCAACGGAUACCCUUCGGGGCUACCUGUCUGAUCUCUGAAAGUUGCUCUGGUGCUGAAAGCUUGCUUAUGGUAUCAAAGUUGACGUUCAACAGGUUAGAACGGGAUAAAUUCGUNAAGGAUGUUGACGUAAUGGCUUUAAACGACCCGUCUUGA
rnacentral:rRNA from 1 species